UACGUAGGGUGCGAGCGUUAAUCGGAAUUACUGGGCGUAAAGCGCGCGCAGGCGGCUUCGCAAGUCAGACGUGAAAUCCCCGGGCUUAACCUGGGAAUGGCGUUUGAAACUACGGAGCUGGAGUGUGGCAGAGGGAGGUAGAAUUCCACGUGUAGCGGUGAAAUGCGUAGAUAUGUGGAGGAAUACCGAUGGCGAAGGCAGGCUCCUGGGCCAACACUGACGCUCAUGCACGAAAGCGUGGGGAGCAAACAGG
rnacentral:rRNA from 1 species